UUACUCUGUUCUUGCAAAGCUUAACAAUUUUCUUUAAUAUUGUGGUGGGGGGGCGUGGUUUGUGCGUUGGCUGCAGAGAGAGAAUGGGCGGGGCGGCUCGCUGACUCUGCGCCACAGCUGUUAGAGGUUGCUAAUCAGCACCGCUCUUUAAAUGUUUAAUUGUUUAACGAUGUGCUGAUUACCUUGACAGUGAGCCUGGGUGUUUUAAAAGGCGUUCGCCGAGGCAGACGGACUGACUGGUGACGGAGGAAGUACGGCGCUACGGCAAAAGUACUGAGAAACGCAUGUAACCAGUCGAACGAAAAGCCGUGUGUUCGGCUACAAUAAAAAAGAAGUGUUUACUUCCAACUCGUCUCUCUCUCUCGAUAUGCGAGCAGUAGCAUUCACACUGCUACGAAUAUUAUCUAAACGUAAAGCACUUGUAACCGGGGUUUUGAAGAAAAAAUCGACAGAGGUGGAUUCAACAUGAUGGACUACCUCCUUGAUGUCAUACUUCAAGAGGUCAUCAUCAGGAUCUUGGAAAAGAAUGAGGGCUUCAGCUGCUAUCGGGCAGAAUUUGCCAUGGCCCGUGGAUUUCACCAUUACAGGCUGAAGAAAUGUGAUAGUCUUGAUUGUAUUUAUUUUGGAUGUUUGAUUAAAGAAAAAUCUAUUGGCAUAA